GGGUGAGUAACGCGUAAGGAACUUGCCUCUUGGUCUGGGACAACUGUUGGAAACGACAGCUAAUACCGGAUAUUAUGAGAUUCUCGCAUGGGAAACUUAUGAAAGCUAUAUGCGCCAAGAGAGAGCCUUGCGUUCCAUUAGCUAGUUGGUGGGGUAACGGCCCACCAAGGCGACGAUGGAUAGCCGGCCUGAGAGGGUGAACGGCCACAAGGGGACUGAGACACGGCCCUUACUCCUACGGGAGGCAGCAGUGGGGAAUAUUGGACAAUGGGCCACAAGCCUGAUCCAGCAAUUCUGUGUGCACGAUGAAGGUCUUCGGAUUGUAAAGUGCUUUCAGUUGGGAAGAAGAAAGUGACGGUACCAACAGAAGAAGCGACGGCUAAAUACGUGCCAGCAGCCGCGGUAAUACGUAUGUCGCAAGCGUUAUCCGGAUUUAUUGGGCGUAAAGCGCGUCUAGGCGGAAAAAUAAGUCUGAUGUUAAAAUGCGGGGCUCAACUCCGUAUUGCGUUGGA
rnacentral:rRNA from 1 species